UUAAGAGCUUGCUCUUAUGAAGUUAGCGGCGGACGGGUGAUUAACACGUGUCUAACCUGCCCAUAAGACUGGCAUAACUCCGGGAAACCGGGGCUAAUACCGGAUAACAUUUUGAACCGGAUGGAUCUAAAUUGAAAGGCGGCUUCGACUGUCCCUUAUGGAAGGACCCACGUCGCAUUAUCUAGGUGGUGAGGUAACAGCUCACCAAGGUGACCAUGCAUAACCAACCUGAGAGGGUGAUCGGCCACACUGGGACUACUCCUCGGCCCAGACUCCUACGGGAGGCAGCAAUAGGGAAUCUUCCGCAGUGGACGAAAGUCUGACUGAGCAACGCCGGGUGAGUGAUGAAGGCUUUCGGGUCGUAAAACUCUGUUGUUAGGGAAGAACAAGUGCUAGUUGAAUAAUCUGGCACCUUGUCGGUACCUAAUCAGAAAGCCACGGCUAACUACGUGCCACCAACCGCGGUAAUACUUAUGUGGAUUGCUGUAUCCAAAAUUAUUGGACGUAAAUCGCGCGCAUGUGGUUUCAUACCUCUGAUGUGACCUCCCAACUGUCACCCGAGGAGGGUCAUUGGAAACUGGGAGACUUGGGUGCAAAUUACGAAAGAGGAAUUCCAUGUGUAGCGGUGAAAUGGAACAACAUAUGGAGGAACACCAGUGGCGACUGAUACUUUCUGGUCUGUAACUGACACUGAGGCGCGAAAGCGUGUAGAGCAAACAGGAUUACAUACCCUGGUAGUCCACGCCUAACACGAU
rnacentral:rRNA from 1 species